rnacentral:misc_RNA from 1 species
AACGCACCUUGCGCCCUUUGGCUAUUCCGAAGGGCAUGCCUGUUUGAGUAUCAUGAACACCUCAACUCUCAUGGCUUGCCAUGAUGAGCUUGGACUUUGGGGGUCUUGCUGGCCUGGGGUCGGCUCCUCUCAAAUGAAUUAGCUUGCCAGUGUUUGGUGGCAUCACAGGUGUGAUAACUAUCUACGCUUGUGGUUUUCCACCAGGUAACCUUCCGCGAUGAAGGUUCGCUGGGGCUCAUAAAUGUCUCUCCUCGGCGAGGACAGCUCUUUGAACGUUUGAUCUCAAAUCAGGUAGGACUACCCGCUGAACUUAA